AUUUAUUAUGCCCCCGCCAUAUAAUGGCAGGGGCAUAUAGUGUUACCCUGUUCCGUCAUUCCGUCAUUCCGUCAUUCCGUCCUUCCGUCAUCAUCAGUUUCCGUUCAUUAUCUUAAUAACCCUUGCACAUAUUGAACUCAAAUUUGACAUAUGGAUAUGUCAUGAGAAAAUACAGGUCAAGUUCGAAAUUGGUCAUGGUUCGAUGAUUUUUGGCAGAGUUAUGCCCCUUUUACAUUGAAAAUAAUAUGAAAUUUUCAGUUUCCGUUCAUUAUCUCCCAAACGGUUCAAAACAUUCAAUUCAAAAUUGACAUAUGGAUAUGUCAUGAGAAAAUACAGGUCAAGUUCGAAAUUGGUCAUGGUUCGAUGAUUUUUGGCAGAGUAAUGCCCCUUUUACUUUGAAAAUAAUAUGAAAUUUUCAGUUUCCGUUCAUUAUCUCCCGAACGGUACAACACAUUCAACUCAAACGUGACAUAUUGAUAUGUCAUGAGAAAAUACAGGUCAAGUUCAAAUUUGGUCAUGGUUUGAUGAUUUUUGGCAGAGUUAUGCCCCUUUUACUUUGAAAAUAAUAUGAAAUUUUCAGUUUCCAUUCAUUAACUCCCCAAUGGUACAACACAUUCAACUCAAACUUGACAUAUGGAUACGUCAAAGGAAUGCGCAGGUCAAGUUCAAAUUUGGUCAUGGUUCAAUGAUUUUUGGCAGAGUUAUGCCCCUUUUACUUUGAAAAUAAUAUGAAAUUUUCAGUUUCUGUUUAUUAUCUCCCCAACAGUAUUAAACAUUCAACUCAAAUUUGACAUAUUGAUACGUCAAAGGAAUGCGCAGGUCAAUUUCAAAUUUGGUCAUGGUUCGAUGAUUUUUGGCAGAGUUAUGCCCCUUUCACUUUAAAAAUAAUAUGAAAUUUUCAGUUUCCGUUUAUUAUCUCCCCAACAAUAUUACACAUUCAACUCAAAUUUGACAUAUGGAUAUGAUUUUGGAAUGCGCAGACCAAGUUCGAAUCUGGUCAUGGUUCAAUGAUUUUUG